CCUACGGGCGACAGCAGUGGGGAAUAUUGCACAAUGGGGGAAACCCUGAUGCAGCAACGCCGCGUGAGUGAAGAAGUAUUUCGGUAUGUAAAGCUCUAUCAGCAGGGAAGAAGAUGACGGUACCUGAGUACGAAGCCCCGGCUAACUACGUGCCAGCAGCCGCGGUAAUACGUAGGGGGCAAGCGUUAUCCGGAUUUACUGGGUGUAAAGGGAGCGUAGACGGUGAGACAAGUCUGAAGUGAAAGCCCGGGGCUCAACCCCGGGACUGCUUUGGAAACUGCCUGACUGGAGUGCGGGAGAGGCAAGCGGAAUUCCUAGUGUAGCGGUGAAAUGCAUAGAUAUUAGGAAGAACACCAGUGGCGAAGGCGGCUUGCUGGACAGUAACUGACGUUGAGGCUCGAAAGCGUGGGGAGCGAACAGGAUUAGAUACCCGUGUAGUC
rnacentral:rRNA from 1 species